rnacentral:rRNA from 1 species
UGGGGAAUAUUGCGCAAUGGGGGGAACCCUGACGCAGCCAUGCCGCGUGAAUGAAGAAGGCCUUCGGGUUGUAAAGUUCUUUCGGUGUUGAGGAAGGUUGAUGUGUUAAUAGCACAUCAAAUUGACGUUAAAUACAGAAGAAGCACCGGCUAACUCCGUGCCAGCAGCCGCGGUAAUACGGAGGGUGCGAGCGUUAAUCGGAAUAACUGGGCGUAAAGGGCACGCAGGCGGUUAUUUAAGUGAGGUGUGAAAGCCCCGGGCUUAACCUGGGAAUUGCAUUUCAGACUGGGUAACUAGAGUACUUUAGGGAGGGGUAGAAUUCCACGUGUAGCGGUGAAAUGCGUAGAGAUGUGGAGGAAUACCGAAGGCGAAGGCAGCCCCUUGGGAAUGUACUGACGCUCAUGUGCGAAAGCGUGGGGAGCAAACAGGAUUAGAUACCCUGGUAGUCCACGCUGUAAACGCUGUCGAUUUGGGGGUUGGGGUUUAACUCUGGCGCCCGUAGCUAACGUGAUAAAUCGACCGCCUGGGGAGUACGGCCGCAAGGUUA